UACGUAGGGUCCGAGCGUUGUCCGGAAUUACUGGGCGUAAAGGGCGCGUAGGCGGAAUGGCAAGUCGGUCGUGAAAUCCUUCGGCUCAACCGAAGAACGUCGAUCGAAACUGCCGUUCUUGAGGAUUGCAGAGGAGACUGGAAUUCCAGGUGUAGCGGUGAAAUGCGUAGAUAUCUGGAGGAACACCGGUGGCGAAGGCGGCAUCCUGGACCGGCAUUGACGCUGAGGCGCGAAAGCUAGGGGAGCAAACGGG
rnacentral:rRNA from 1 species